CUGAGCCAAAAUAUGUCGAUGUGCCCUUGAGCAAGUCACUUAACCCUAAUUGUUCUUGUAAGUUGCUCUGGAUAAGAGCGUCUGCUAAAUUAAAUGUCAAUUGUGUUUUGAGUGUCUUGUCAUGUCUGUGAAUGUCUCUUUCCCUGCUGACCUGUAUGUGUCUCCUUUGGAAACAGGUCCAGGCAGCAGCAGCUCCUCCAUGAGAGGCAGGAGGUCAGGUACAGAUGGUGAACCAGAUGACUGUCCUCUAGAGGAGAGGGGGAGUUCAGACUGGGCAGCCAGCAACUCCAGUUGGCCCUGAGGAGGAGAACAAACUGGUUGCCAGGCUGGUGAACUUUCAAGGUGAAACCUGCUACAUCUCACAUCUGACAGAGUAUGCACUGUAUAUAUAGGGUGAUUUGUUAACCCAUUAGACUACUGUAUCUUACUCCAUGCCAUACUGUCAUAAAACAUACAUGAGUGGAGAAGUUAUUUUAAUAAGUAUUUUAGGCCGGCAAGUGGUCAGACCAAACAAUGCCAUUAAAUCCAGGAACAAAUUUGACAUGCUUUUUUUGCUGCCAUACUCAAUCAUGUCAGUUUGCUCUUAAAUUGUGUCAGAUUGUCUACUUUUGUGAACUUUCUUCUUUCACUUCAUCUAGUAUGAUGUCUAUUUCACUUAAGUUCAAGUUGUAUUAGUAUGUACAGGAUACACAUGGUAUACACUGUCCAACAAAAUGCUUACUUGCUUAGUCAUGGAGACAGAAUUGUUUAGUUCAAAGUGACGUUUUAUGAAUUCAUUUUUGAUUUAUCCACUGGGCACAAACUGGUUGAAUCAACGUUUCCACAUCCAUUCAAACCCCAAAAAUCAAUGUGAUGUUGAAUCAAUGUUUCCACAUCCAUUCAAACCCCAAAAAUCAAUGUGAUGUUGAAUCAAUGUUUCCACAUCCAUUCAAACCCCAAAAAUCAAUGUGAUGUUGAAUCAAUGUUUCCACAUCCAUUCAAACCCCAAAAAUCAAUGUGGUGUUAAAUCAACGUGGGAAACUGAUUCGCUUCUAAAAAAAAAUAAACAUGAGGGCAUUUCAUCUCUUUUUUUCACCUAACGUGUUAACCUAAAUCCAAUAAUAUGUUAUUUUUUUGUUGAUUUCACUUUGAAUUCACGUCAGUUGACAACUCAACCAAAUUUAAAUAAACUAUAGACAUUGACCUGAUGUUUGUGCAAAGUGGGUAUUGUGUUGUAUUAAAGGCAUUUGAUUAAAUGAAAUGGGUAAAAACACCCUCUAGGGUUUAUUUCUAUGUUUUUCCUGGUAUUGGUAUAUUAGCAGUGAGUAUUUAAUUCUAAAUAUACUUAUUUUACCCUGACAGUGCUCAAGCCAGCCUACUCUGCAGCAUGAUUAUGGAGGGAAAAUAAUUGCCCCUGUUGAGAUCAAAGUUCCCAGACAAUGUUCUAAUUAACCAGAAAUGUUAACUGACAGGAAAAGAGAAAUGAGUCUGUGUAAUUCACUUACUGUUAAUAAAGACAUGAUUCUUUUUCUCUCUGAAUCAACACAUGCUAUGCAGUAGCACAUACCAAAUGUUAUCAAACUGUAAGAAUCUGGUGUUUUAGAUAUUAUGCACUAAUAUGGUGUUUGACAAAUUGGAGCUGUUGUCAAGGCAUGGAACUCUGUUGUCAAGGCAGGAAUCUCUCUCUCACACAGUGAGCAUAGUUUAUCUCUAUAAAGCUGGGAUUCCAGUCCCAUCUGCCAUUAGUCGGCUAGAUGUCUUCCUGUUGUCAGUCUGAAUUAACAGCUGGGUAUUAGGCAUUAUACCAACAGAGCUGCUUUACUAAACCCUGCCGCCCCCCUGGAAUAGCAGCACAACUCAGAUAAAUGUACUAGUGGGGAGUCUAGUCUCAAAGAGGAGAGAGGGGAUUCAGUUUUUAUGAAGCACUAAAUUUAACAUAGAUCUAUCUAUUUCCCCAGGUUGGUACAACAGCAAUUUCCGCUCUGCGAAUGCUUCUAAGCAGUUUUUUAUAUAGCAUGGGAAGUCAGACAGAAGGGGGUUGAAACGUAUACCUCAGUGAACGGAUGUCAUUCGGAGUGCUCUGUGUGUUCUGUACGGCAGGGCCAUCAGAAAUUAGUCCACUGCCUCGUAUAUUUUGUCAUGACUAGCACUGACCACCACAUUCUGAAGCUGUCACAAGAAAAGAGAGCAGCACUAGCCUCCGUGGCCCUGACUGGGAGUUCCUUCUUUUGUGCUUUUAUGCAUUUUGUCCUCAAUGACACCUGCUGAGGCAUUGUCCUGAUGGUUUGGAACAUUGUGCUGUUGUAGCGAACCUGUAGACCAGACAAUGUAAAAGGAUAGACACAUCUAGAUUCAUAUGUUUUGGUUAAAAGUAGUGUCUCCCAAUGUGCAUGGAUUCCCUCUUAAGAUUGGCUCUCCAAAAUGAUGCAGAGUGGAUAUGGCCUUGAUACAGAACCACCAUGAGAGACUUGUUUAUUGGUUGUCCUUAUUCACCCAUUCCAUCUGUCACAUUGGCCCUGAAAUGUGUGGCUUCCAGCAAGUGCCCAUAAGUGCCUACUUAUGUUCCUACCCCAUAGUACAUUAUCUUCAUCAGGUGUCCUUACUGUAAACUUACUUCCAUGCUAUUCUAAUCUAAAAUAUCCAUUCCUACACUCUUAGGGGAAAAAGUUACUAUCUCAAACCUAAAAGGGUUCUUUGGCUGUCACGAUAGGAAACCCUUUUACUUCCAUGUAGAACCGUUUCCACACAUGAACCAAAAAGGCUUAUCCUAUGGGGACCGCCGAAAAACGCUUUUGGAACUCUUUUUAUUUUUUUACUUUUUUAGAGGGUGUAUACUCUACUCUUUAUGUAUUGCCCUUUGAAAUUACAAAAGAAUUGUGAUUGUCAACUCACCAAGUUAAUAAAUUGUGUCCUGCCGCAGUAAGUCAGCAGAGUGUUUACUUGCGAAGUUCAGUCUAACAUACAAGAUUGUAAUUAUUUGGGUUUGUCCUGGUGUUUUUGUUUCAGUAUUUGCUUUCUUGCUGUGUUUUAUAGAGUAUAUCUGUCACUGUGAUUCAUCAAAUGUGCAUUCAUUUGAAACGUUAUGUCCUUCUCUAUUUAUGAAAGUGCAAUAAUGAUUGAUCUGGUGCUGAGCAAAUAGUACAGCAGCACAUAAAAAAUAUCACAAAUAGCCU
rnacentral:lncRNA from 13 species